UGAACGCUGGCGGCAUGCCUUACACAUGCAAGUCGAACGGCAGCACGGGUGCUUGCACCUGGUGGCGAGUGGCGAACGGGUGAGUAAUAUAUCGGAACGUACCUUAUUGUGGGGGAUAACGCAGCGAAAGCUGUGCUAAUACCGCAUAAUCCCUUAGGGGGAAAGCGGGGGACCGUAAGGCCUCGCGCAAUUAGAGCGGCCGAUACCUGAUUAGCUAGUUGGUGAGGUAAAGGCUCACCAAGGCAACGAUCAGUAGCUGGUCUGAGAGGACGAUCAGCCACACUGGGACUGAGACACGGCCCAGACUCCUACGGGAGGCAGCAGUGGGGAAUUUUGGACAAUGGGGGAAACCCUGAUCCAGCAAUGCCGCGUGAGUGAAGAAGGCCUCGGUUGUAAGCUCUUUGUCAGGAGAACAGCAGCUCUAACACAGUUGUCGAAUGACGGUACCUGAAGAAUAAGCACGGCUAACUAUGCGC
rnacentral:rRNA from 1 species